UGGGGAAUUUUGGACAAUGGGGGAAACCCUGAUCCAGCCAUCCCGCGUGUGCGUUGAAGGCCUUCGGGUUGUAAAGCACUUUUGGCAGGAAAGAAACGUCAUGGGUUAAUACCCCGUGAAACUGACGGUACCUGUAGAAUAAGCACCGGCUAACUACGUGCCAGCAGCCGCGGUAAUACGUAGGGUGCAAGCGUUAAUCGGAAUUACUGGGCGUAAAGCGCGCGCAGGCGGUUCGGAAAGAAAGAUGUGAAAUCCCAGGGCUCAACUUUGGAACUGCAUUUUUAACUACCGGGCUAGAGUGUGUCAGAGGGAGGGGGAAUUCCGCGUGUAGCAGUGAAAUGCGUAGAUAUGCGGAGGACAACCGAUGGCGAAGGCAGCCUCCUGGGAUAACCCUGACGCUAAUGCACGAAAGCGUGGGGAGCAAACAGG
rnacentral:rRNA from 1 species